GACGAACGCUGGCGGCGUGCUUAACACAUGCAAGUCGAACGCUGAAGCUCAGCUUUUGUUGGGUGGAUGAGUGGCGAACGGGUGAGUAACACGUGAGUAACCUGCCUCCUUCUUUGGGAUAACGCCCGGAAACGGGUGCUAAUACUGGAUAUUCACUGGUCUUCGCAUGGGGGUUGGUGGAAAGGGUUUUUCUGGUGGGGGAUGGGCUCGCGGCCUAUCAGCUUGUUGGUGGGGUGAUGGCCUACCAAGGCUUUGACGGGUAGCCGGCCUGAGAGGGUGACCGGUCACAUUGGGACUGAGAUACGGCCCAGAGUCCUACGGGAGGCAGCAGUGGGGAAUAUUGCACAAUGGGCGCAAGCCUGAUGCAGCGACGCCGCGUGAGGGAUGGAGGCCUUCGGGUUGUGAACCUCUUUCGCUCAUGGUCAAGCCGCAACAAUGGUUGUGGUGAGGGUAGUGGGUAAAGAAGCGCCGGCUAACUACGUG
rnacentral:rRNA from 1 species